UCCAGCAGUAGUCAGCUGUCCGGAUAGAACCAUUCCUGUGAUGGUGUUACACUGCUGGGAGAGGAAAGUCCUGUCUUUUUCCUCCAGUUGCCUCUGUCACUGUUCUGGUGGCGCCUGGCACUGGUGUGAGGCAGAACUCUGUGCUUCCUUGAGAGUGUGCUAAGCGUUCACUUGGGCCGCUUAGUUCUAGUCUGGGAGCAGACACA